rnacentral:rRNA from 1 species
AUUGAACGCUAGCGGGAUGCCUUACACAUGCAAGUCGAACGGAGUGGCGAACGGGUGAGUAAUGUAUCGGAACGUGCCCAGUAGCGGGGGAUAACUACGCGAAAGCGUAGAUAAUACAGCAUACUAUUGGAGCGGCCUAUCUAGGAUUAGCUAGUUGGGGGGGUAACGGGACACCAAGGCGACGAUCCGUAGAUGGUUUGAGAGGACGAACAGCCAAACUGUGACUGAGACACGUCCCAGACUCCGUGGGGAUGCAGCAGUGGUGAAUUGGGGAAAAUGGGGGAAACCCUGAUCCAGCCAUCCCUCGUGUGCGAUGAAGGCCUUCGGGUUGUAAAGCAAUUUUGGCAGGAAAGCGGUACCUGCAGAAUAAGCACCGGCUAACUACGUGCCAGCCGACGCGGUAAUUC